rnacentral:rRNA from 1 species
GGGGAAGGGUAGCUUGCUACCUGACCUAGCGGCGGACGGGUGAGUAAUGCUUAGGAAUCUGCCUAUUAGUGGGGGACAACAUUCCGAAAGGAAUGCUAAUACCGCAUACGCCCUACGGGGGAAAGCAGGGGAUCUUCGAACCUUGCGCUAAUAGAUGAGCCUAAGUCAGAUUAGCUAGUUGGUGGGGUAAAGGCCUACCAAGGCGACGAUCUGUAGCGGGUCUGAGAGGAUGAUCCGCCACACUGGGACUGAGACACGGCCCAGACUCCUACGGGAGGCAGCAGUGGGGAAUAUUGGACAAUGGGCGAAAGCCUGAUCCAGCCAUGCCGCGUGUGUGAAGAAGGCCUUUUGGUUGUAAAGCACUUUAAGCGAGGAGGAGGCUACUGAGAUUAAUACUCUUGGAUAGUGGACGUUACUCGCAGAAUAAGCACCGGCUAACUCUGUGCCAGCAGCCCGCGGUAAUACAGAGGGUGCGAGCGUUAAUCGGAUUUACUGGGCGU